rnacentral:misc_RNA from 1 species
GUGAAUCAUCAAAUCUUUGAACGCACAUUGCGCUCUUUGGUAUUCCGGAGAGCAUGCCUUUUUGAGGGUCAUUUUAAAUAAAAAUCGGUAUGGUUGCUGCCUUUCGUGGUGACGCACCUGAUGUGGGUCGUCUUGCCUUCAUUUAAGUGACCUAAAAUUUUGCAUGAUUUUUUCGAACUUAUUUAAAUUAUUUUACGUACGUUUUCGAUAUCGAAUACUAGUUGCAGUCAUCCUACUGAUCCGCGCCUAUGAUUUCUCAUCAAAAUGACCUCAAUUCAGUUAAGAUUACCCGCGU